rnacentral:misc_RNA from 1 species
ACUCCACGAAGAUCUGGCGGAGCGGCCCUUGAAGGUUAUCAGCCGCCGCCUUGAACUCAGGAUUCCUUACAAAAUGAGUCUGGUUGUAGUCAGUCUUGAACUCAUUGAGCAAAGCCUCGAACUCGGCCUGGUUGAGAUUCUUGUUGAUCUCCGCAUUGAACAACUGCUCCAUCUCGUCAAAAUCCGUGGUGUAGAACCUCGGAGUCAGCAACGACUCGUUUAUCUCCGACUUCCCCUUGCCGGAUUUCUUCGGUGCAUUUGCGGUGGUUGCGGCGGUUGCGGCGGCGGAGACUCUGAAGUUGGAGUGAGGCCUUAGAGAGGCGAACCUUGAAGUGGGUCUGGCGAACUUGGUGAUGGGGUUGAUUGGUUUGAUGAGGGCAAGCUCUGCUGUAGCCGCCAUUGCUG